rnacentral:tRNA from 1 species
AGGCCUAUAGCUCAGUGGAAAGAGUAGUAGAUUCCGAUUCUAAAUGUCGAGGGUUCAAGUCCCUCUAGGCCUA